AAAAAGACAAACCUUGGGUUUGCGUGUCCAACUUUGACUAUCCGUCUUAUAUGAAAUUUUUUUAUAAUUCGUAUUUUUAUUAUUGUUAGAUGAUAAAACAUGAUUAAUAUUUUAUGCGUGACUUGUCUUUUUAAUUUCUUUCAUAAUUUUUUCAAAUAAGACGGACGGUCAAACGUUGAGCACGGAAACCAGGGUU
rnacentral:pre_miRNA from 1 species